UACGUAGGGUGCGAGCGUUAAUCGGAAUUACUGGGCGUAAAGCGUGCGCAGGCGGUUUUGUAAGUCUGUCGUGAAAUCCCCCGGGCUUAACCUGGGAAUUGCGUUGGAGACUGCAAGGCUGGAGUCUGGCAGAGGGGGGUAGAAUUCCACGUGUAGCAGUGAAAUGCGUAGAGAUGUGGAGGAACACCGAUGGCGAAGGCAGCCCCCUGGGUCAAGACUGACGCUCAUGCACGAAAGCGUGGGGAGCAAACAGG
rnacentral:rRNA from 1 species